UACGGGGGGGGCAAGCGUUAAUCGGAAUUACUGGGCGUAAAGCGCACGUAGUCGGCUUUGCAAGUCGGAUGUGAAAUCCCCAGGCUUAACCUGGGAACUGCAUCCGAUACUGGAUGGCUUGAAUUCGGGAGAGGGAUGCAGAAUUCCAGGUGUAGCGGUGAAAUGCGUAGAUAUCUGGAGGAAUACCGGUGGCGAAGGCGGCAUCCUGGACCGAGAUUGACGCUGAUGAGCGAAAGCUAGGGGAGCAAACGGG
rnacentral:rRNA from 1 species